UUAAUCCUAAUUCCAGUCCUAUAAAUUCACAUCUUUGGAGAAAAAAAAUCAAAGAGAAGAUUUCAUUGCGUUUUACGAGACAAAGCCGCCGCCACCUCCUCUUCUUCACCGGGAGGGCUGAUUUGGCGUCCGUUUGGGGAUCCAGAGAGGGGGAUUCGUCGCUGUCGUCGUCACCAAUCCUUCUCCAUCAACAAUUUGAUGAUGCUCACCACCGAAAGUGAGUAAUUCCUUUGUAGGCUUGCUGGACGCUGAUGGGAUUGGAUGAGAUUGAUCAUGUAAUCGAGUUAAUUUGAUAGGACUUGAUCCCUAGUAUCCAUUAUGUUGUGAGAUUGAUGUUGUUAUGACUUUGUUAUGCUUGAUGCUUGUCACUAGGGCCCGAGUGUCAUGACAGAUCAAAACCUAUUAUGUUUUCUCUGAAUAUGGAAGUGCUUGGAUCAUAUCUUGCAAGUUGUAUGCACUUAUUAUGUGUUAUGAUCCGCAUGCCCCAACGUGACAAUAAUUGGGAUUCUUUCCGGUGAUUGC
rnacentral:lncRNA from 1 species